rnacentral:rRNA from 1 species
UACGGAGGGUGCGAGCGUUGUCCGGAAUCACUGGGCGUAAAGGGCGCGUAGGUGGCUUUUCAAGCCGCGCGGUGAAAGCCCGGGGCUCAACCCCGGGUCGGCCGUGCGGACUGGGAGGCUCGAGCACUGUAGGGGCGGGUGGAAUUCCGGGUGUAGCGGUGGAAUGCGUAGAGAGUCCGGAAGAACACCGGUGGCGAAGG